rnacentral:rRNA from 1 species
GCAAGUCGAACGGCAGCACGGACUUCGGUUUGGUGGCGAGUGGCGAACGGGUGAGUAAUAUAUCGGAACGUGCCUAGUAGCGGGGGAUAACUACGCGAAAGCGUGGCUAAUACCGCAUACGCCCUAAGGGGGAAAGCGGGGGAUCUUCGGACCUCGCACUAUUGGAGUGGCCGAUAUCGGAUUAGCUAGUUGGUGGGGUAAUGGCUCACCAAGGCGACGAUCCGUAGCUGGUUUGAGAGGACGAUC